UACAGAGGGUGCGAGCGUUGUUCGGAAUCAUUGGGCGUAAAGCGCUUGUAGGCGGCUUGUUAAGUCGCGUGUGAAAUCCCUUGGCUCAACCAAGGAAGUGCGCGCGAAACUGGCGAGCUCGAGUGCCGGAGAGGGUCGCGGAAUUCCCGGUGUAGAGGUGAAAUUCGUAGAUAUCGGGAGGAACACCAGUGGCGAAGGCGGCGACCUGGACGGACACUGACGCUGAGACGCGAAAGCGUGGGGAGC
rnacentral:rRNA from 1 species